ACGAACGCUGGCGGCGUGCUUAACACAUGCAAGUCGAGCGGUAAGGCCCUUUCGGGGGUACACGAGCGGCGAACGGGUGAGUAACACGUGGGUGACCUGCCCUCAGCUCUGGGAUAAGCCUGGGAAACCGGGUCUAAUACCGGAUAUGACUCCAUGACGCAUGUUGUGGGGUGGAAAGCCUUGUGCGGCUGAGGAUGGGCCCGCGGCCUAUCAGCUUGUUGGUGGGGUGAUGGCCUACCAAGGCGACGACGGGUAGCCGGCCUGAGAGGGCGACCGGCCACACUGGGACUGAGACACGGCCCAGACUCCUACGGGAGGCAGCAGUGGGGAAUCUUGCGCAAUGGGCGAAAAGCCUGACGCAGCGACGCCGCGUGAGGGAUGACGGCCU
rnacentral:rRNA from 1 species